UGAGAAACGUUUUUCCCUGUUUUUCCCUGUAAUUUCGCUGUUGCUUUUUUUUAUAUAGAAUUAAGUAAUCUGGUCAUAAACAUAGACUACACCCACGAUUCAAGUUUUAUAUUGCUUGAAUUCGACUUAAAUCUAUAAAUUACAGAACUGAAUUAGUUCUUGAUCUGUAGCUUCUUCAGUAGAGCCUUGGCCCUAGGAUCAACUUUAGAUCAAUAUUAGCUCCACCAGUAGACCACAAAAAGACCUUCAGCAAAACUAGGAUAAGCACCAAUACUGGCCCUAGGAUCAACUCUUAUACUAGGAUAAGCCCCAAUACUUGCCUUGGGAUCAACUCUUAUACUAGUAUAAGCCCCAAUACUGGCCCUAGGAUCAACUCUUAUACUAGGAUAAGCACCAAUACUGGCCCUAGGAUCAAUUCUUAUAUUGGGAUAAGCACCAACACUUUCCCUAGAGUCAACUCUAAUACUAGAAUGAGCACCAACUCUGGUCCUAGGAUCAUCUCCGAUAUGAAGAUAAGCACCAACUCUGGUCCUAGGAUCAUCUCCGAUAUGAAGAUAAG